AACCUUAUGGACCUGCGGGCGUAUACCUGCGGAAGGAUCAUUACAUGGCGGAGAAGGUGGGCACCUGGCCAAAAAAAACUCCAGGUUGUCAUGCCUUCACGCUCUUCCACCCUUGUCUAUUUGUACCUUUUGUCGUUCCCUCGGCGGGUUUCGACCCGCCGGCGGUAACCAUUGAAAACCCUUUUUGCAGUUUAGCAUCCAAUUCUUCUGAUCAAAUAUCAAAUCGUUACAACUUUCAGC
rnacentral:misc_RNA from 1 species